GACGAACGCUGGCGGCGUGCUUAAUACAUGCAAGUCGAGCGAGGUUACUGUUUUGGAUCCCUUCGGGGUGAAGAAGCUUUAACCUAGCGGCGGACGGGUGAGUAACGCGUGGGUAACCUACCCCAAAGUCCGGGAUAACAGCGGGAAACCGCUGCUAAUACCGGAUGCCUUUACCUUGGGGCAUCUUGAGGUAAAGAAAGGUAACGCCUUGGGAUGGGCCCGCGUCCCAUUAGCUAGUUGGUGAGGUAACGGCUCACCAAGGCGACGAUGGGUAGCCGGCCUGAGAGGGUGGACGGCCACACUGGGACUGAGACACGGCCCAGACUCCUACGGGAGGCAGCAGUAGGGAAUAUUGCGCAAUGGACGGAAGUCUGACGCAGCGACGCCGCGUGAGCGAUGAAGGUCUUCGGAUCGUAAAGCUCUGUCCUUGGGGAAGAAGGCGAAAGCUUGACGGUACCCAAGAAGAAAGCCCCGGCUAACUACGUGCCAGCAGCCGCGGUAAUACGUAGGGGGCGAGCGUUGUCCGGAAUUACUGGGCGUAAAGGGUGCGUAGGCGGCCCUUUAAGUCGGAUGUGAAAGCCCGCGGCUUAACCGCGGAAUGGCAUUCGAAACUGGAGGGCUUGAGUGUCGGAGAGGGUAGUGGAAUUCCCAGUGUAGCGGUGAAAUGCGUAGAUAUUGGGAGGAACACCAGUGGCGAAGGCGACUACCUGGACGAUAACUGACGCUGAGGCACGAAAGCUAGGGGAGCAAACAGG
rnacentral:rRNA from 1 species